AAAAGAAAUUUUAAUCUGAAAAUUUCAGUUUCAAAACUUUUGGCCCCGCUGUGAUGCGCUGUGGCGGGGCUAACACGGAGGACCAAUAUAAAUCGACGAGGGUGGUCACAGUACAGGCAAUACAGCCAUUUUCUGACCAUAAUUAUCGGUGAAAACACAGGGACUGAAGUUAUCAGCUUUAUCCAUUUUGAUUGGUUCUUGGCGUUAGCCCCGCCCCAAAGUGCCACAAUGGGGUCAAAAGUUUUGAAACUGAAAUGUUCAGAUUCACAAGUGAAAAAAAGUAAAAAUUAAAAAAAAAGUUUGAAAUUGAAAUUUUGAGUUUGGAAAGCUAAAGAUUAGAGCAUUUGAAGCUGAAUAUAAUUCUUUUUAUUUUAGAAUAGCAAAAAGUUUCAGAUAUUUUACUUUUUUUUUUUUGGCCAAACACCAAUCUUUUCUUAAUUUAUUUUAUUUGGGUUUCAAAUAAUAUUUGGCUCCAUAUAGCCCUGGCCUUUGUUCUGAAAUUUGAUAGCCAGCUCAGCGUUCAUUAGAGACUUUGUUUCUUCUAGGGGUGUAACAGAUCACAAAACCACCGUUCGGAUCGUGUUUCGGUUUUAGAGUCAAUGUUCAGAUUUUUUUUUCGGAUCAGAAAAAAGUAAAAAAAAUACAGCAAAAAAACAAAAUAGAAAUAAGCUAUUUUUGUAAAUGAUAUCAGAAAUAAGGUAUACUAAAGCUAUAAGGGAUAUUAAGAGAGACAAGAGUCAGAAAUAAACCAAUCAGUCAGACUUUACUAAGUUCACAGAAGCUACAACUUGUUUGUAUCACGCCACGUUAGCCACGUUAGCCACGUUAGCCACGUUAGCUGUGUUAGCGUAUUCACAAUACCUGAACACUCCGCUUUGAGAGCGAGUCAAAAAAGACUGAUACCGCUAAAACAAUCAUCACUGUGAUAACACAACUUACAACCUCGUUAUUAACACGUAAAACAAAAACAAACAAAAGAAAAUCAGUUUGAUACGGCUAAAUAUUAGCUGCGUUAGCGUAAUAACAGAGUAUUAACCACAGUAACAAACAUUAUGACCUCUCAAAACUGCUUCGACAUGAGUAAGCAAAUUUACAUCCAAGUUCAAAAGAUUAAAUUAGGAACGCGAAACAAAGGGAAGACGCUGCUAUCUGUUUGAAAAAUAUUUAAAAUAUAAUUACUUAAAGAAACUGCCAAUAUCCUGACCUCUGUAAUGUGUUUCCUCUGAGUUCCCAUACCUAACUGUUUCUACCAAUUGGCUCUGUGCUUCCUCUGCUGUAUUUGUGUCUGCUCCGUUGUGGUUUGUAGAAGUAUUUCUGCGCGUGCAGCCAUCCUGUUACCAAACGUCGUUUUUGUUUACCUGUGAGAGGAAGGCCCGUUCCUGCCAGAAUGACCUCCACUUCCCGACUGAAACACCAGAAAGUCCAAUAAAAUCAAGAACUUCCCUCUGGAUUUGUCUUUCCAUCUGAAAACAUAAGAGAAACGCGGCCUGGUCUCCUGUAUUUGGGUCCUCCACCACCAUUUCCUGACAACAAUGGUUCGUUCCAUUUUCAUGAUGUCCGUUGAGAUGGCUACACGAGUGGAACUGCACCCGUGCUCCUCUUUAGGACACUCUACAGGCCCGGACAACCCAGGAACCUACAGCCCCCGUAUGGGUCGACCCUCCUUAUGAUGCAUGUGAUCGUGGCUUUAAGCAGAGAUGUGUUUUUUUACAUGAAACUCCUGCUGAUAAUGAAGGACUUUGACUGCAGUGGUCUUCACGCUGGACGUGUGAAACGGCUGGUGUAGCGUGUUGACAGAACUGCAGUGAUUUGUGCAUUACCCUGCAGGCGUUUGCUUCACUUCCACCUCAAGCAGGAGCAUUGAUUUUCCUUACAUGACAAACAAAUGAUGUACAGUUAAAAAGCUUAGGGGGACAUAUUAAAUUCUUCCUCCUUUAUUCCCUAAUGUUUUUUUCCUUUGGUCCUUUUCAAGGUGUAAUUUACCGCUCGCCGCAGCCGCCACCUUU